UCAUAGGCUAAGUUACUUUAUGUGGUUCUAAAAUUACUUUAUAUAUAGAUAUUAUCAAUUUAAGCAUCGCUGCUCAGCUAUAAAUGAAUAAAAAAGUAGCUAGAUGUUGGACUUAUAGCCACCUGAAUGUAAUUUUGGGGAAAAAGAAAAGAUGACCAUAAUUUUGGGCUUAGUAAAUCCUAUACAACAAUAACUUAAGAGCAUAGUUACCGAGCUUGCAGUAGCCCGACGACAA
rnacentral:lncRNA from 1 species